AUGUUCCACUGGCAGGCCAGUAUCAUGGGACCCUUGGACAGCCCGUUUACUGGUGGCCUAUUUUUGGUGAACAUCCAUUUCCCACUGGAUUAUCCCUUCAAGCCCCCGAAGGUCUCUUUCCGCACCAAGGUGUUCCACUUCCACUUCCACCCAAACAUUAACAGCAAUGGCAACAUUUGCCUUGACAUUCUCAAGGAACAGUAG
rnacentral:rRNA from 1 species